UGGGGAAUUUUCCGCAAUGGGCGAAAGCCUGACGGAGCAAUACCGCGUGAGGGAGGAAGGCUUUUGGGUUGUAAACCUCUUUUCUCAAGGAAGAAGAUCUGACGGUACUUGAGGAAUCAGCAUCGGCUAACUCCGUGCCAGCAGCCGCGGUAAUACGGAGGAUGCAAGCGUUAUCCGGAAUGAUUGGGCGUAAAGCGUCUGCAGGUGGCUAUGCAAGUCUGCUGUUAAAGAGUGGAGCUCAACUCCAUAAGGGCAGUGGAAACUGCGUAACUAGAGUACGUUCGGGGUAGAGGGAAUUCCUGGUGUAGCGGUGAAAUGCGUAGAGAUUGGGAAGAACACCAGUGGCGAAGGCGCUCUACUGGACCGAAACUGACACUCAGGGACGAAAGCUAGGGGAGCGAAAGGGAUUAGAUACCCCCGUAGUCC
rnacentral:rRNA from 1 species